GGAGGAGAUCAUAAACCUAGCUUUACACCUUUGGAGGCGCUGGAACGGUUAACAUUACAUGGUGUCAGCAGUGAGAUCCAGAGAAGACCCCCAACAACUCCAAGGCUGGUGGGCAAACGGGUGCUGGUACCCAGAGCCCACUGAGGUCACUGCUUUCUUGCCAACCCUGGAGUAUGAGGAACGUCCAGGAAGCAUACAAGACUCCGGAUUUGCCUCCAGAAGAAGAGGCUUUUUCCCCUGGGAUGAAGUAACUGCCAGUGACAACAUGAUUAGAAACUUCUCCCUAAUAUUGAGAGAGCUAGCCGAUUCUAAAGCCAAAAACAGUAGCAGCCCAAUGAUUACUUAACUCACUAGCUAAUGUAGUCUUAGCUCUCAAUUACCUACUUGCCGAGCAGGAAGGUGUGCAAUAGUGGCCACCACCUAUAGCACAUGGACAAACUCCUCUGGGGAAAUAGAAACUCAAUUGUAUACAAUCAUGUAGCAAGCAUACUGGUUGCAACAAGUCUCACCUGGCUCUCCAUGGUCCCUUGAUUUGUUCAGUUGGCUACUUUCAGGCCUAGCAUCCUA